ACUGUGAAUAGUUUUCAUUAAUCCUGAGUCCGAGCUCGUAACAAUAUUGAGUAACUGACAAAAAUAGCAAUGAUGCAACCUUAAUAAAUAAUACUAAAUACAAUCUGAAUUUAUCGUGAAACAGUAAAAUGAUAUCAAAUUAAUUGUGAAACAAGAAUGAGUAAUUUAUUGAUUACGAAAAUAAGGCAUAGUGAAACAAAUACUAUACUGGAGAUCAGGUGUUUUUUGUGUGGUAUCGUUGUGAAAUUUCAUAUUCGUUCUAAAUGGUUAUGUUCGCGUGUAUGUUUCUGAUCCUUCCUUCCAUCCUUCACAAGAAAUUAUCCUAAUAGGGUAGUUGCAUACUGUCGAUGCACGAACAUCGACGAUCGCGCGGCGCGGGCGCCGGGAGGAGGACAGCCGCGCGGGGUAGCGGAUUAACACCGGCUUCGUCACUUCGUGCAGCAACGCCGCCCGCGACACUUACUUGUUUUUAUCUUGUUUUACUCUUUUUAUAAACUUACCAAAUAAUACAGUCCACUCUUUUAUUUUAUAUAUCACCGGUCUACCCCAGAGCAGUUCGAGACACAUACUGCACUUUUGAUCAUUACUGGACGGCCACCUACGAGAUGGACCGACGACCUGGUAAGAACCGCUGGGUCACGUUGGAUGCAGGUGCCAACGGACCGGCCGCACUGGAGAUCACUUGGAGAGGCCUAUGUUCAGCAGUGGACAGUGGACAGGCUGAGAUGCUUUAUACUUCAACAUUAAAUUAAGGACCGAUGAUAAUAAAAUAUUUUAUGAUUUCCCUCUAAUAUUCUGACUAGUAUCAACAGGAUCGUUAAAAAGGGGAAAUUAAUUGUUAGUUCAAUUUGCUAAAUAAAGAGUUAUUUAUUUUUAGCGUGUGUAAACUA